AUGGCCGUUAGUGCCACGGCCCCAUCUGUCUUCCCCCUGACCUCCUGCACCGGCGAAGUCACCACCUCCCAGGUCACCUUCGGCUGCCUGGCCAAAGGCUACUUCCCCGAGCCGGUCACCGUGACAUGGAGCCCGAACGUCGGCUCCUCGGGCGUGAGGACCUAUCCCUCCGUGCUGCAACCUUCCAGCGGCCUCUACUCGCUCAGCAGCCAGGUCACCGUCCCGGCCAGCAGCUGGGAGUCUAACACCUAUCGAUGCACCGUACAGCACCAGCCCACCAGCUCCAGCAUCUCCAAGGAAAUCCCAAAGCCCCCCGAACCCCCCAAGCUGGAACUCUUCUACUCCUGCACCGACUCAGGCGCCAUCCAGGCCGUGUGUUUGAUCUCCCACUUCAACAGCGCGGAUUUGACAGUGCAUUGGAUAGUGAAUUUCCAGAUACAAAAGGGUGACAUUGACCAGCCCACAAAGGACGCCAACGGCCAGACCUUCAGCACCCGCAGCAGUAUCAUUGUGACCGAGUGGCCGGGUGACUCUCCCCUCACCUGUCAGGUGUCCCAGCCGGGCACCUCCAUGAUAUUGCAGGCCCACGCCCAGAAAUGCCAAGAAGAAACAACGUCUCCCAGCAACAUCCAAGUCUUCCUGGUGCCCCCGUCUCCUGCUGACUUGUAUGUGAACCAGAGCCCCAUGCUCACCUGCCUGGUGGUCAACCUGCCUAGCAACUGCAGCCUCCAGGUGGUCUGGUCCCGGGAGAAGCCGGGCUCCAUUGUCCCUGAACCCCUGACCCUCACUGAGCAGCUCAACAGCACCUUCACCGCCUCCAGCUCCAUGCCCAUCUUCACCCGCGACUGGGAGGCCGGAGAGAACUUCACCUGCAAAGUGGAGCACUCGGGGCUGCCCUCACCCCUCAUCAAAUCGAUCUCCAAGAAGACAGGCAGGCACUCUGCCCCUGGCAUCUACCUCCUGCGCCCCCACAACGAGGAGCUGAGCAGCUCCGAAGACUCCGUCAGCCUCACCUGCCUGGUGCGGGGCUUCUUCCCCGAGGACAUCUCGGUGCAGUGGAUGAAGAACCACAAACCCAGAGAGAGUUUGGAAUACAUCACCACCCAGCCCAUCAAGGACAGAGCCGGCGACUCAAACUUCUUCCUCUACAGCAAGCUGAAAGUCAGCAAGGACAGCUGGAACAGAGGGGACGUCUACACAUGCAUGGUCAUCCACGAAGCCCUCUCAUUGAAGUUCACCCAACGCAGCAUCAGCAAAGUAUCUGAGGUGAUCGUGUCAGGUGAGUUUUGUAGUGAGGACGGAGACGAGGAGCUGGACGGCCUCUGGUCCACCAUCUCAGUCUUCAUCACCCUCUUCCUCUUGAGCGUGUGCUACAGCGCCACCAUGACCCUGUUCAAGGUGAAGUGGCUUUUCUCUGUCAUGGUGCAGCUGAAUCAGGCGAGUGGCCCCGAGUACAAGAACGAGAUCCAGAGCGUGGUGUAG